rnacentral:rRNA from 1 species
GAGUAACACGUGAGCAACCUGCCCUCCACUUCGGGAUAAGCCUUGGAAACGGGGUCUAAUACCGGAUAUGAGCGCGCACCGCAUGGUGUGUGUUGGAAAGUUUUUCGGUGGGGGAUGGGCUCGCGGCCUAUCAGCUUGUUGGUGGGGUGAUGGCCUACCAAGGCGUCGACGGGUAGCCGGCCUGAGAGGGCGACCGGCCACACUGGGACUGAGACACGGCCCAGACUCCUACGGGAGGCAGCAGUGGGGAAUAUUGCACAAUGGGCGAAAGCCUGAUGCAGCGACGCCGCGUGAGGGAUGACGGCCUUCGGGUUGUAAACCUCUUUCAGCAGGGAAGAAGGCCUUCGGGUGGACGGUACCUGCAGAAGAAGCGCCGGCUAACUACGUGCCAGCAGCCGCGGUAAUACGUAGGGCGCAAGCGUUGUCCGGAAUUAUUGGGCGUAAAGAGCUCGUAGGCGGUCUGUCGCGUCUGGUGUGAAAACCUCAGGCUCAACCUGGGGCGUGCAUCGGGUACGGGCAGACUAGAGUGCGGUAGGGGAGACUGGAAUUCCUGGUGUAGCGGUGGAAUGCGCAGAUAUCAGGAGGAACACCGAUGGCGAAGGCAGGUCUCUGGGCCGCAACUGACGCUGAGGAGCGAAAGCAUGGGGAGCGAACAGGAUUAGAUACCCUGGUAGUCCAUGCCGUAAACGUUGGGCACUAGGUGUGGGGCUCAUUCCACGAGUUCCGUGCCGCAGCUAACGCAUUAAGUGCCCCGCCUGGGGAGUACGGCCGCAAGGCUAAAACUCAAAGGAAUUGACGGGGGCCCGCACAAGCGGCGGAGCAUGCGGAUUAAUUCGAUGCAACGCGAAGAACCUUACCAAGGCUUGACAUGCACCGGACGCUGCC